rnacentral:rRNA from 1 species
AUGGAUUUUACAUUCCACUUGAUCGAAACUAUUACAAACAACUUUGCAGAGGAUCAGAAAGUUGGCAGCGGUGGAUCCGGAGAUGUUUACAGGGCGGUGCAUGAUGGGGAAGAUACUGCCGUGAAGAAACUGCAUCCCUUGCAAGGGCUGGAUGAUAAGCAAUCUGACAAUGAAUAUCGUAACCUUAUCAUGGUACGCCACAAGAAUAUUGUGCGGUUAAUUGGCUACUGCUAUGAAACUUGGCACAAAUACGUGGAGCACAAGGGGAAACUUGUCUUCGCUAAAGCAAUGGAGCGAGUGCUCUGCUUCGAAUAUAUGCAGGGCGGAAGCCUUGAUAAACACAUUCAAGAUGAAUCUUGCGGACUUGAGUGGCCCACAUGUUACAAGAUUAUCAAAGGGACUUGUGACGGACUAAAUCACCUUCACAGCUCCCAGGAAAAACCUAUUUUCCAUCUGGACUUAAAGCCUGGUAAUAUUUUGCUGGAUAAAAGUAUGACGCCCAAAAUUGCGGAUCUUGGUUUCUCAAGACUUGUAGGUUCAACAAAAACGCGACAAACAGAGAUGCGCGAUGGAACACUCGGGUUCAUGCCACCGGAGUACAUUGACAGUGGCUUGAUAUCAGAGAAAUUUGACGUUUUCAGUUUGGGCGUCAUAAUUAUAAAAAUGUUGUCUGGAAAUAUGAGCUACUUCCGUUGUUCCGAAAUGUCUCCCGAACAGUUUAUUGAGCUUGUAAGUGAAAACUGGACCAAAAAGUUGCAGGCAAAUCCUGGAUAUUCCUCACAGGAAAUAGACAUCCUAGGAGUGACUUCAUGUGUUGAGAUUGCAUUAAGGUGUGUGGACAAGGACAGAAACAAAAGGCCAUGUAUCAAGGACAUCGUCCAUGAACUAGAGGAACUAGAAGUUAAGAUUGGAAAAAUGUCACCACCCACAUAUCAUACUGUAAUGGAUCUUCCUUCCUAUGUCAAGAGUGUUCCUCUAACCCAAGGAAUCGAGGCACAGGAGCCAGGCAGUGUGUAUACAUGA